UCCCUGGGGAGAUUAUGCACAUCUUCUUCCUAACACAUAUGACAGAACAAAAGGGUGUUCGUGACUUCAAAUAGUUAAGAAAUUUUCUUAACCUGAAGAAACAGCUUAUGGAGAGAACAAAGGGACCUGACCACAGAUCUUUGGCAGAAUUUUCUUCUGUAGCCCAUGAGAGAUAAAGUAAUAGCAUUUGCAUCAUCCGAGGAAAGAGACUAAGCUUUAUAGAGAUGAAUGGAUGACCUAAGGGUCCCACAGUCCCCAAACUGACUGUAAUUUCCUAGAGAUCUGGAUGCCAGAAAUUAAAGAUCAAGAUGUCCAUAAGGUUGCUUCCCUCUGUGAGGGAAUGCUCUGCUUUCGGCCUCUCUCCUCGGCACAUAGACAGAGGGCUUCUCCCUGAGAGUCUCACAUCUCUCCCCCAUGUGUGUCUACCUCUGUGUCCAAAUUCUUCCUUUUUAUGAGGACACCAGUCAUAUUGGAU